GUGAGUUGCUCAUCUAAUUCUCUUUAUGGGCUUCUGUUGUGCAAACCUGCCGAGUCUAAGAGCUAUAUCUGCGGACCCAUUUCGUUCAUUUUUCUUGACUGCAGCAAGAGAACGAAUUUGGGGCGGUACGGUGGUUUAACCGUGUGUGAGGAAUGAGCGCGCGCUCUGUGUUUGAGAAUGGCGAUUUGCGGCAUUAAAUGUGUUGUUCACUGAAGGGGUUUACCGACAGUGUAGAUAAUUCUGCGUAGCAAGUACACUUUGCGGGGUUUACCGGAGGUGUUUUGCGGGCGCUUUCAGGGUUUACUGAAGCGCAACAGUUUUUGAGACACGCGCUGUCAGGGAUUACUGCAGCGUGCUGGUCAGAUCUGUAUGUCGAUUCUCUGUUUUGAUAUAGGCUCUGGGAUGGACUCGGCAGUCUUGACACUGGCAGAAUUCCUCCUUGCGACUAAAUUCUAAAUCCAUAUAUUUUGACAAUUGUUUGACUGUGGCAGAAUACCACAUUGUGACUGACUUUCAAUUUUGUAUAAUUGUUAUAAUUGUCAGACGGCUGAUCAAAUUAAACAAAUUAAGAGUAAAGAGAACACCAAAUUUAACAAUUUAAUUAAAUGAAUUUAAUUAAGUGUAUUUAAUUGAGUGUAUCUGAAUUGAAUAAAACUUUUUCUUUGUUGGGGGUGUCAACACACGAAGUAAUGGCUCAUGUGUAUGUAAAAGGAGCUCUUAACGAAACUCUCACUGCCCAAAUAGCGAUGUUAGGCAUCGGAAAUAAAGAAAAGAUUAAACAGAAAAUGGUAAAGAUGAAUUUAAAGAAAUAUGGGGUCCGUAGGCAGUGUGAAUGGGGGUGAUGAAGGAAGAUAAUAAGAUAAUGAUCCUAAGAAACAAAAGAAAUAUGCACGAGUUUUGUGUUGUUUGAGGAUUGUGCAAGCAAAAGGUAUUUUAACAUAUCGCAAUGGAAGAAUAGUUUAUGUGGAUAAACUGGCACAAGCGGCUAGAGAUGCUACGCAAUAUAUGUGGGAUUUAUUAGACAUUGUAACUAAGGAACCAAGAGCAGAUACAGGGAGAGUUUCUAAAAUUGAUGAUAUCUAUAGCUUCAAAACUGAAAGCAGUGAUUGCCAAGGCAGGGAGACAUGUGACGAAUGUUUCUGAAAACAGUGGUAUACAGGUUGCAGCUAUUUCUCCUGGGGACCUGGAGGAAGCUGAGAAUGAGUGGGGCGAGUAUGUGAAACUGCGUCCAAAAUUACCCCGCUGUAGUGAAAUUGAUCAGGAAUUGAUAGCGGCUGGUCAAGUGGGGGUUUAUCGAUCCAUGGGUGUGCGAGAUUUGACUAGUAUUGUAAAUAUACUGCCACUCAUGAAAUCUAACAGUACCAAUUCUGAAUUUUGGGAUCGUUUGUGGGUAAUGGCAAGAGCCAACCGCCUAGCAGUAAAAGAUCUGUAUUCAAUUUGUGAGCAAGUCUGCCCAUCUACAUACACGGGACAGAUUGUUAAUCUCACCCCUCCCUUACAGCCACAAGCAAAUGCAGAUGAUUACGCAACUCAGUACAGAGUGCUGCGUACUGAAGUAAAGCGUGCAGUUGGAAAUGGAAUUCAAACUUUCACUACUGUGACAAUGAUUAGGGAGGGUCCUAAUGAACCAUUUGUUGGUUACACUGAGCGAUUCACAAAAGCACUGAAAGAAUUUGUGGCAGCACGAGGGGGGGCCUGACUUAGAUUCUCCAAUCAUGCUCCACACUGCGCAGUUAAAUAUGAAUGCUAAAUUUACACAGUUGUUUCAUUCUUCUCUGUCAACAAUUAUUGACUGAUCUUCUUUUGUUGCAUGGGGGACACGGGCUCAAGACAUCGUGGAACAACAAAAGAAGGGACUAGUUGCUGCAGUUGGUCAGACCUCUGCUCCAGCAUUUCGCUGUUAUCAUUGCCAACGUGAUGGUCACUACGCAAACAGAUGCCCUGAUCGAAAUUUAGAGUGAAAUUUCAGAAAGCCUAGUUCCUCUUUUCAACAACAGCAGACACCAAAACCACUUCCUCGAGAUCGUGCUAAAAAUAACCCUGGUGCAGAGAAGCAGGGUGCUGACCUGGAAGCAGGUUGAAAAACUGACAAGAGCUUUUGAGAAUACAGACUGACACAUAGUGGCCUUCAUUUUAUAUGAACACGAAGACCCUCAUCCAUUUUUACAUGCUAACCUAAGAGGCCAGGAUAGCUACAUUCUUGUGGGCCCUCGGGUCUGCAUCUCAGUAACUGUUAUUAAUUUGCCUUUAACAAACAAACAAAUGCAUCUUCAAGGUAUAUCUGGUCGCAGUCUUUUCACACAGUCUCUAUUGAUUUCUCCAAUAAUAUAUCCAUUUGAACAGCCUUUUUGGGUGCAAUUCUGGGUUGGAGAAAGCCAAGUUGGCAUGGUAAUGGGAAUGGAUAUAUUGAGUAAAUUGAAAGCAGAUGUUUUGCUGACUAGGGAUCAAUUAAUAAGUCAGUAUUUACCAAUUCCCAUACCAGUGUUUAACAAAACUGGAAUUCCUAAAUUAAGCCUUGGAGCUAUCACAGUUAAUGAAGUCACAGAGGUCUACUGAUUCCUCAGUGAUGCAAUAUUUUUCUGAAAAAUUUCCAAAUUUGUGGUCAACUUCUAAACUUGAUGUUGGUCUUUGCAGGAUUGAACCUUUGAAUGUUUCAGAUCCUAUACAUCCUCCAGUAUUCCAGUAUCCUCUUUAGAGAGAAGCAGAGUGAGCUGCACAGGAAAUUGUGAACCAGCUUCAGGAAUCAGGGAUUUUGAUGCCGUGUUUGAUGGCCUUGGACUGUGCUGAGUGGGCGUUGAAGGUCACUGAGGCCAUCGUCUGUUACAAUCAGAUGAUCCUUCACUCUCCACAUCGUUUUCUACGCAUGCUCGCAGAGACAAAAAUAAAGUUGAUUUCAAAUCAACGACAUGCAAAAUGGGAAACUGCUCUCAUGAACCCUCAGCUCACUGUUGUUGCAGACAACUGGACAAAUCCUGCCUCCCUAAUGGAGAAUGAGGGGAGUGCACAUGACUGCGCCGAGGUAAUUAUCUGUGACAGGGGACAUUUUGUCAGAGAUGAACCGUUUUCAGAUUCUCUGGACAUGUUCGUGGAUGGCAGCAGUUUCUACGAGGGGGACACACGCUACACGGGGUGGGCGGUAGUAGAGGGGAAGACGGGCGAGGUCUUGGCUGAGGGGUCGCUUCGGGAGGAAGUGCUCAGAUAGCUGAAUUGCAUGCUUUGAAUGCUGCCUUAAAUCUGGCUCUUAAACUAACUGCAGGUGAAAAUAGCUCCACUAAUGUAAAUAUUUUUACUGAUAGUGCAUACAGCUACCAUGUAGUGCAGAGUUAUGGCCCUGUUUGGAAACGUCGUGGGUAUUUGACCACAGCGGGUACGCCAAUAAGUCAUCAAACCGUAAUUGAAAAAAUUCUUGACACGUGUGAGAAAAUUCCACCAAACAGUGUCGCGGUAUGUAAAGUCACAGGUCACAGUACAUUCAAUGAUUGGUUGGCGAAAGGAAACUCUCUAGCUGAUAAGGCUGCGAGAGAAGCUGCAAAGGGUGUGGCACUUGAGGAAGUAGCUGUUAUUUUCCCUGUUCAUCCUGACUGCACGGGUUCCGAAACUUUAUCUAAAUUGUACACAACUGAGGAUCGUGAAAUGUGUCAGAAAUUAGGAGCUACCUUAACUGAAGAAGGGGUUUAUGCCCUGAAUGACAAAGUCAUUCCGCCUAGCGGAUAUCAAACUGAACUAAUUGAUUUGUACCACAGCAUUGCACACCAAGGGGUUCAGAAAACAUAUGCUAUGUUACAACAAACAUGGUUUUAGCCAGAGAUGUUACAAACUGUGAAGGAUAAGACUUUCCAGAUGUAUCCACUGUUUGCAAAUAAAGCUAUAAUUUGGAAAAGUUAAAAUCCCAAUUAGUCACAGUCCUCGCCCGCGAGGACCAUUCACACAUUUACGAUUGGAUUUUAUUUCGUUACCUUCUGAUCAUGGGUACAAAUAUGUAUUAGUCCUCGUUUGUGAAUUUUCCAGAUGAUCUGAAAGGGUAUAUUGGAUUUUCAGUCCCUCUCAUUGCACCAUGGUUCGGGAAUGAUAGAUUUUCAUAAAAUAGGGGUAUCUUUACUGGGAUUGUUAUAAGCAAUGUCUGUAUUUGGUAUCUGUGAGGUGACUGAGGGUCUGACCUAUGUCAGGAAUGCAAUAACAGUGAUUAUUCAUUUAGCCCGGCUUCCAGAGAAUAAUACAUAUAUACGUUUAUUGCAAAGAUUUUUUUUUCUUUUCGAUAUAACAAAUUAACCAAAAUUCAUCAUGGUUGUAUAAGACAUAUAAAAAGAAAAAAACAACUAAGUCAAAUUUCUUUCUAAAAGGUCUUUGGGUUUUAACUGUACCUUCCCCUAAAGCUCUGUUGUUGCGCUCAGGUCCUUCGGGUCCACUGAAAGACACUUUACAGGAGUAUCUUAAAGUACUCACGUGCGCAUUGAAGAAUGCCCAUUUCAGUGCCCUCAGUGCUCAACAUGCUGGAGAUCUUAAAAACGCUAUAUUCAAUGUAAAGGUUAAAAAUCACGUACAAGUGGGGGACGAAGUGAUGAUACAGAAAAUAGGGAACUUAGGACCAAUGUCCUUCAGGUAUGAGGGUCCUUAUUCGGUGUUGUUGACUACUCCAACAUCUCUUCUUGUUGAAAUCGAGCCAGGGCUGACUCGAUGGAUGCAUCUUGCACAAGUGAAGCCUCUGUCGCCGCUUGCUGAUACUAACUCUCUUUCUAAUGUGAUUUAGUCCAACAGGUGCAGUAUUUUAUAUCCAAGGAAUGGCUGCUAAGGAAGAACAAUGACUAAUUGUUUCCUCUCUUUAGGUUCUCAACUAUGAUUCCAUCCGGACCUGUUGUGUUAAUAAUAAUAAAAAAAAAAAAAUAAAAAAAAAGAGAGACUGAAAACCAUGGUGUUUAUGUUUGUGUGUAUUGGUGUUGUCCUGUUUGGUUGUCUAUGUGUCGUUGUGUAUUUGUUGUGUUUUUAUCCAAAUAUUUCUGCUCCUACUAUUCUAUAUCUCUAAUAGGUACGAGUGCAUGCUGUCCCAGAAAUAUUCUGCGUAUAUUUACCACACACGACUGGUUCUAAGGGUGACUCUUCGAUGUGACUUCUGCAACAGUGCAGCUCAUUGACAUUCUGGGAGUGGUUGCUGUGCUCGUGGCUAGACAUCAGUGUUUCAUCGCAUCAUCACAUCACUCGUUAACUCUACGUCAUCUGAGAGACCUGUGCUAAAGUCUACCAGCUGAUAUAUAUAGAUUUACAUAUAGAUCAAAAGAUAUUUUUAUUCUCCCAUUUAUACCAGUAGUCGUGAGGAAAUCUAUACCUUGCAGGUGAAGGGUAAGGAAAGGAAAGGUAUGAGAUGUUGAAAACGAUCAACGAAAGUUUGGAAAUAAACGACAUGGUACCAUAAGGACAAAUAUCUUCAACUACUAUCUGCCAAGGGCAAGAAGAGAAAGAACGAUGAUAGAGUUUAGAGUUGGGAAAGAUGGAAGGCUGUGGUAAGUCCUCAACCCAGCAAAAGUCCAGGGGACGCCAGGGGUCGAAUUUCCUUAGGAGUUCUCGUCUGGCCAUCUUGGUGAAGAUCUUUGUUAAUUUUAAGGUAGCUGGGGUUAGAGAGGUAUCUACAGUACUAUCUAUCUGAAAUUUUGCUAUUAAUUUUCUAUAUUUUCCUGUAUGCAUCAUGUAUUUUUCUUUUGAAUUACUCUGUAUUUCUGUAUUUUUGAUUUUGAUUUAAGGAAAAGGUUGUGGCGAGUCUUUUGAUAAGACUCGAGUGGGGGAUUGGUGUGUGGAGAUUCUAAGAAAUCCACAUGGUGAUAGAGAUUCUGAGAAGAAGUCCACGUAUUUAAAUUAAACCCAAGUGUUGUUGAGAGAUUCUGAGAAGUCACAUACUCAGAAUGUGUUCUAUUCAUAAUGAUAAGUUUAAUUUCAAAAGUUAAAAAUUAAUAUUUCAUGGUAAGGAUAUAUAUUAAC
ensembl:lncRNA